CCUACGGGUGGCUGCAGUGGGGAAUAUUGCACAAUGGGCGCAAGCCUGAUGCAGCCAUGCCGCGUGUGUGAAGAAGGCCUUCGGGUUGUAAAGCACUUUCAGCGGGGAGGAAGGCGGUGAGGUUAAUAACCUCAUCGAUUGACGUUACCCGCAGAAGAAGCACCGGCUAACUCCGUGCCAGCAGCCGCGGUAAUACGGAGGGUGCAAGCGUUAAUCGGAAUUACUGGGCGUAAAGCGCACGCAGGCGGUCUGUCAAGUCGGAUGUGAAAUCCCCGGGCUCAACCUGGGAACUGCAUUCGAAACUGGCAGGCUAGAGUCUGGUAGAGGGGGGUAGAAUUCCAGGUGUAGCGGUGAAAUGCGUAGAGAUCUGGAGGAAUACCGGUGGCGAAGGCGGCCCCCUGGACAAAGACUGACGCUCAGGUGCGAAAGCGUGGGGAGCAAACAGGAUUAGAUACCCGUGUAGUC
rnacentral:rRNA from 1 species